AUGCGCAGUCUAUAUAUACUAUGUCUAUGGCCUGCACACUGCAUUGCUCGCGCUACUUCGUUAUCGGCACUGCGUGCACUCCGUGUAUAUUAUCCCGUGGAUUAUUUGCACUGUAUCGACACUACAGGCUCAAAUACAUAUACACCGGAGAUUGCGACCAUUAGAAUUGGACCAAAUUGGACCAACCGUGUGAUCUUAAUCCGUUCUGUUCUGGCGCAACAGCAAGAUUACGCGCUCACACACGUGCGCCUGUGCGCGCAUCAUGACGGGACCGCUCGCGCGCGCGUGUAUGUGCGAAGGGUCAAGCCUCGGAGGUCGGAGGAGAACUGUCAAGGGUGGAUGUUAAAAACAGAGGACGAUAGUGCGAAUAUAGAUACGGCGAUGCGGGACGUUGACCGCCGACGUGAGAAGCCGCUCAUCGAGAAGUAGACUGUCCGAUUGCCUCGAGGAACAUGGACCGCGUCCCGGAUGACCGAGGACUUGUGCCUCUCGCCGUUUAGACCCGACGUGCACUCGAGCGUGUACCACGCAGCCGGAGCCAAAUCACGUCCGAAGGUCCCGAUCGAAGGAUGCGAAGGAUGCCUACUGACAUUUUCCUGGGAAACAGUGGCACCCUUCAUCGCUCCUUGAUGUUCAUACUGAAGCUCGGCUGGCAGUCCAGAUUCCGCUUGCCCGUGCUCCUGGUCAUCGUCUUCGUCGCCAUGGACUACAGGCUGCAGCUGGAGAUCGAAUUCGGGGACAACGCGGACCAACACGAUGACCUGUGAUCCGAUACGGGCGAGAUCAGAUAGAUUGUAAUAUACAUGUGGCGUGUGAGAUUCUAGUUUCUACUUCAAUCGUAAGGUAGAAACGCGUAUUGGAUCAGAGCCCCGUAUUGGAUCGUAGCGUUGAUUGUUGACGAUUUAUUGUCAACAUUUACAAAAGAUAUUCAACUCGCGAUUACAACGUUGCACUCUUGGGGAGUACUUGUUGAGACUAUUAGCACUCGGACUUGCCAGACUGACGUAUGCAUUUGAAUUAAUUUAAGAAACUUUUAUAUAAUUCUACUUAUAAUACAUUGUUCUAUCUUAUAAUAUACAUAUGUGUCUUACAACGUAUUUAUAUCAUGAAUUGUAUAUUGUCCAAAUUAAACUGAUAAGCGUAAUUUUAUGUAAUUUUGUUAUAAAUAUUUGUAAUAGAUAAUAGACGCAGGAAGAUUGACUUUCAGAAAAGCUUCUGAGAAGUAAAGUUCAGAUUUUGUUUAAUCUAUUAAGAAAAGAAGUGAGUGCAAGUAGCAGAGUUUAAUGGGAGCUUAUGAAAUACAUGAAACUACACGAAAGGAGACACCGGGGGGCAUCUUUGACUUUCUAUUGCUGCGACCAUUUCCAUUUAUAAACUUGGUGAUUAUUCAGCAGAAAAUAAAAACAAAUAUAGAAAGUUUAUGAAAUUUACUUGUUACGUGCAAAAAUGAAAUGCCGAAAACAUGAUACGGAUAUAUCUUUAUAAAAAUUAGAAUGUAAGGCGUGUAUGCAUAAGUUGGCAACUUGUUUUGUAAUUACUUCGAGCGUAUUGUAAAUUGCUUGUAUGAUAACAGUUGUGUUAUGAAUAAAUAAACAGGAGACCAUUUAUUUUUUAGA